rfam:Schistosoma rodhaini strain Burundi genome assembly, scaffold: SROB_scaffold0009630
GCACUGCUGAAGAGUCCCGUAAUAAGACGAAACGGCCGUCCAGCAC